rnacentral:rRNA from 1 species
GAUGAACGCUAGCGGGAGGCCUAACACAUGCAAGCCGAGCGGUAUUGUUUCUUCGGAAAUGAGAGAGCGGCGUACGGGUGCGGAACACGUGUGCAACCUGCCUUUAUCUGGGGGAUAGCCUUUCGAAAGGAAGAUUAAUACUCCAUAAUAUAUUGAACGGCAUCGUUUAAUAUUGAAAGCUCCGGCGGAUAGAGAUGGGCACGCGCAAGAUUAGCUAGUUGGUGAGGUAACGGCUCACCAAGGCGAUGAUCUUUAGGGGGCCUGAGAGGGUGAUCCCCCACACUGGUACUGAGACACGGACCAGACUCCUACGGGAGGCAGCAGUGAGGAAUGUUGGUCAAUGGGUGCAAGCCUGAACCAGCCAUCCCGCGUGAAGGACGACUGCCCUAUGGGUUGUAAACUUCUUUUGUAUAGGGAUAAACCUACCCUCGUGAGGGUAGCUGAAGGUACUAUACGAAUAAGCACCGGCUAACUCCGUGCCAGCCGCCGCAGUAA